CCCCCACCAUCCGCUACAACACGAUUGGUAAAAGGCCUGUCCGUCUUUGUCCAGAGGCGAGCCGCUGAUUGGACCAGGUUGCCAGUCAAUCACUAAGUGGUCCACCCCGCCUCGCUGCGCCAUGUUGUUUGACGAUUUUCGAGGGAUGGAGCGGUAUCUGUACCUUGCUGAAUCACCUUGGAAUUGAAUAGUGCCCCGUUUUCAAAUUCGACGCGAUGGCGGGGGGUGGGAGUUGGAAAGAAAGGAAAUGUCAGAUGAUCGAACCCGGUUUGAGUCAUCCCAUCAAGGUGAAGGGUAUGACGCAGUUCUUUAGAUAUAAAGACCAGCAUUCAACUAGCCUUUUUGGUUAUUUUCUGUACCUGUCGUUAUGAGGUCACCGUGGAAGUCCUGCCUUUUCAACCUCACCUCUUGUCAAGUUAACUUCAGUACCAGUCAUCUCUAUGGUCCUCUGGGAUUAUGGUAGUUUUCACUUUCACGAAUGAUCUGUGCAUAUGAACCCCAGUGACUCUUUUGACUUCAAUUAUUUCUGGAUUUGCAUGAUUUAGGAAGUAGUCUAUUUGUCUCUUUUUAGGUCUGAAGUGAAUGACCUCCCAUUUGUCCAUAUUGAAACCUAUUUUCUACAGUUUUGCUUCUUAACUUGAUCUAUUAAUGUCUCUUGUAACACAGUGCUUCUGUUUAUAAUGCCAUCUAUAUUUGUAAUCUUCAAACUUGAGUAUGUAAUUUGCUAUCCUGUCAUUUAAUGCUUAAGUAGACACAAUAAAUAGUUGAUGCUUCAA